AAUGAGAGCGGGACGCCGGUCGAUCAAGCUUUUUCACUGCAGCAGUUGGCCAGGGUUCAGGGAAACUGAAGAAGAGGAGGGAAGACUUCAGACAGAGGGAAGGAGAUUUGAGUUCGAGGUCUGAUGAUCAGCCGGGACCCGGACGCCUCCUGUGACUUAAUCAGCUUCAGGAGGUAGCCGGUCUCAUCUCCCUCCGCAGAGAACUUACCUGUCCUCGCCCGCCUGAGGCUUGUUCCGUACUGGAUGCGGCACGAGAACGAGCCUCACAUCCUCCACGCCUGCGCUGCAACCCAUCAACCUCUCGCUUCAGCGGCAGGCGUGUGUGUCAACCCGCGAGAAGGUCCCUAUGUUUGCAGAGGUCAAAGUCAUCUGUCAAACCGGCGAGACGGCUGGCUGGCUCCACGGAGGCAAGCGCUGGGCAUGCGAGGUGAGGAUGGGGCUCAGGGGCCCAGAGCAGCUCCAUGAGAUGACUCUGAGAGGUGCUACCUUCAGGCAACACUUCACUAAACAACUUUGACGCUCUCCUCGUGCUGUCUCAUUCCCCCUUUUUUUAUGGUUCAGUGGAGAGUGAUUCCAGGGGAGAGAAACAAUGGCGGGGAUGAGGAAAUGGAGGGAAAAGUGGAAGUAACUAGAGUAAACACAGACCGCUCAAGGAGAUGGAUAAAAAGGUGUAAUGGAAGGGAGCAGCAAUAGAAAACACACAGUCACUAUUAAUUGUGAGUGUGAAUGUGUAAAUGUGCCGAUGACCUGGUGGGACUGCAGAAAAUUGGAGCUGUGUAUGUCCAUGCAGUAUUUAAUCUAUAAAACAUGUAAAACUGUUUCCUGAAUUAAUAUCCAAACAUGGGGACCUGCACUACUAAUAAGAAGGUUUAACUGCCAAAUUUUAAAGCGAAGACACAGACUAGACCACAAGUAGAAAUGACCCGACUGAUAAUGGGGAUGUAAUGUAGGUGUUGCUCGCAUCAAGCUGCCAUACAAAGGACCCAUUUACUAUGGUCACUUUUAAGUAAAAACAUGCAUGGAAAUAAAAUAGGCCCCACAAUCGAACGUUGGGGUACACCACAGGAAUAACACAAAGGUUUAAAGGCUUAAAGGUUACCUUAAUGCCCACUACCUGAUCUAGAUCUGAUGGACUCCAUCAAACAGAGGAGCUGAACCAGUGCUGUGGUACAUCGUGAAAGCUGAACUUGUGACAUAAUGUUAGAAGACAUUUUUUUGAAAAAGAAUAACAUUUGAUCAAGGCGGCAAGUUACUUCAUUAAGUAUUUAUGUAGCUUGAAUGAAGACAUGCUUGAAUGAGGACAGUGGAGAGAAAACCAUAGAGCAUCAGAGUGAGUGAGUAAGUAGGAAGAUGAAAAGGUUUCUAGAGGAUGAGCCGAGGGGACGGUUGGGGAAUCAGGGUGCAGCGCCCAGGAGACCGAUUAACACCAUGCGUACAUCUGGUCCACUCAUGGUGACCAUGGGGACAGCUGAGUUUAACGGGAAACAAGUGCCUUUAUUCUCACCUUCCAGGCACUUUUUCAUCAUGUCUCCACUCCACUGUUUACACGGCGGAUGAAGUGCUUCACAAUGACUGGAUAAUUUGGCACUUGCAUUGUGCUUUCCCAUUAUGAAUCAACUCGUCUAUUUUUACAAUCAAUUCCAUUUUUUUUUCUUUGCAAGCUAACCUUGAAGAUUGAUUUGCUCUGACCUGCUUCAGCAAAUAGAAACUCACUUAAUUAUAUAUUAAGUAAGAGAAUGAAUAAACUAGUAACAUUAUUUAACACAUGUUAUAUGUACGCUGGCCUUAAACUUUGGAUUCCUCCAAAGGAGGAAAGCUCUUUGAUAAUGGCUUUGUAAGCCCUCUGACGUGCUGCGAUGCUCUCCAGCGCAACCGUAAUUACUGCCUGACAGCGGGCAGAGGCCCCUCACAAAGGCUCGAUAAUCAGAGGCUGGUGAUCGGAGCAUGCAGCUCAUGACCAAGGAAAGCAGCGGCGCUGAAAAGUAAUUAAAGUCACCCGUAGUACGGAGCCAUGCAAACUGCUCUCCCAGCUUGCUCCAACACCCCUCCUUGACUGCUCACUGUUCUGCUAUUCUCUCUUUCCCCUUUUCCAUCCUCAUUCUCGUAUCAUUUUCUCUCACGUCCCGCUGCUCCACUUCUCCCUCCCCUAUCUUCCUCUGAGCUCCCGUCUCGCUUUUCUCUCCCUCUGUCCAUCAUUCCUCCAGCCUGUGAGUGUUGUAUUUUUUUCUCCUCUCCAUCCAUCACCUGCUGAUUCAUGAAUGCAGCAGCUACACUUUAUGUGCAAAAGCAGUGAAUAAAUGAACCACGGGAUGCCUCAGCCCUCCUCCACGCACACACAUUCCAAAACUGAGUACACCACAAGCUCCUGUCGCAGUCUACAUUCAAAUGUAAUAUAGCACAAAUGCCUUAGGCCCAACAAAUGCACACUUGCGUUCUUGCAUUGUUUCUUUCCGUGUGUAAUCUUUGCAUGUAUGCAUAAUUUAUUGCCUCACGUAGAUCUCUCAACCAACUUCUUCUUUUAAAGACGCCUGUCUAAUAUCAUUCGCUGUGCGUGCUCCUUAGCUAAUCACCAGCUAAGCCUUUGUGCUAUGCAAAGAAGUGCAAGAUUACCCCUUUCACUUCUCCCCCCUGUUCAUAACCCCUUGGCUCAUCCGUGGGGAGCUCAGAGUAAAUGGAGAAAAAAAAAAAAGGGGUGAGGUCUUUGCGCAAGUAUGUGGAUUGGUGACCUAAUCCCUUCUUCAACUUCUCAUUUGGUUGGGGCGUCUCGGCCGCCACAGUAUGGAGUUAAUACUCACUCGAUUAAACGCACACAGUCUUGCCCACUUAGGGACACGCCGACCAGGCAGCGAGCACUGGCGUGAAAUGGAGGCGAGCAAAAAAGAAAGUGUUUGUGUUUAUUCUCGCCCCUGAUGAUGAAUAAAGUUCAGUUCCAUUAGACGCAGCAUGCUCGUCGUAUUGUCAUUAGCACAGGCACAUUAAGUAUACACUGAGUGAUUUAUAGAGGGGAGUUUCAGCUCGGUUUUACUUACCUGGCUCACCAUCCUGGCUUUCAGCGGCAGUAGGAUUUUCUUUUUUUUAUUAUCGUUAUUAUUGUUAUUUUCAGUUAAUAAAAGCUCUGUCCUUAAAUCACCUGCUCAGCACCAGACAGCAGACAAUUAACCAACAGGGCCGUAAAAAUAGUGGAACAUUCAUCAGAUAAAGAGACAGACCUUUUCCAUAAGAGUUGGUCGAGACAGAAAACCAGAGCUAAGGGACAGUGAGCAUGCUAAUUCUCUAAAGGAAAUAAAAAUGAUGGUAAAUGAAGUGUAUGUGCUGCUCACAAAUGAAUCAUUUUUAUAUUUAAAACACAUCAAAUCACACUCUUAUUGUGUGCAACGGUUUGGAUAUUAUUAAAAAAAUACUGUAGAUGUAGUCAUCAUGUUUUGAUUGCUGUAAUGAAUUAAUACAUAACAUUAACAUAGUUUCUAAGCAACCAUGGGUUCUGGACGUACUCAGGUGCCUUCAAACUGUGCACUCUUCUCGUAAACGCACUUCUUGCCGCUGAGUUACCUGCUGUACGUAUGCCCGGCUUCCUCUCAGGCGUGCAGGUUUGGACCCGAGUAAACGGACCUGACAAGGGUUAAUGCUGCUGCUGAGUACAACUGAUCUGUGCAGUUCCUCUGAGGUACAAUGGGACCUAUGUGUUGGACUUCUAAUCCACGGGCUGGACGUGAGCAGCAAGUUGGCUAAUGGCAUUUGUAGAGAAUAAGAAUCAUUACAAAGCUCAGUGGCAUGAAAGGCUGCAGCCAUGGCCACUCUAUACUCAUUUAGUUAACACAGCACUGUGCGGCAGACCAAAUCCCCCCUACACUGCGCUCUUUGUUUAAUUUUGAGCUAAUCUCUUUGGCCAAUGCGUUUUUUUUUUUUUACUCUGCAAUCAGUUAAGGAAACCGCUGAUUUAUCAUUUCUAUAGGUUAUAGAUUAAGCAGCUUAUUCAGUACGUAUACCCCCAUACGUAGCAAACAAACUCAAAAAUCUCAAUGAAAUGGAAAGUUAAAAAUCACUCUUCAAAACCAGGCUUUAAACGGUUUAAUAUUUAUGUUAUCCUUGUUUGACUUUGGUGUUUUGGAUGCUCUUUUUACCCUCCUACACGAAAUAAUCAGCUCCUGUUGUGCCAAAAUCCGAUUCAUAGCAUGGAGUAUGAAAAGCACAAAGUCGCUUAAUUUCUAUUCUCCUCACAGGGACGGGUGUGUGGCACGGAAAUUGCUUGAUUGUGCCUGAGCUCUCAGGUUUGUGGGAGAAAGCUAAAAAAUAUAUAUAUUUUUUUUGUAGGCAGAGACUGUGCCUUUUGAACUAGGCAGCCCUGAAAGCACCGAGAUACCGUGUGCCCCUUGAAGCAUGAGUGACAUGCAUGAAAGGGUAUUUUUGAGCGAAAGUGCAGAUGGCUUCAUUUCAGAUUCUUCACUGAGGACAACUGCACUCGAGGACAGAAGAGGAGUGGAACAUCUUGUUUUUAAAUCGUUGUUUUUCCCAUCUUAAUCUCACCCUUCAUUUAAAGUCCACAAUUA